UGUAGCCGAGGCAAUGACACGUGGACGGCGCUGAUGGCGGCCAGAACCUCUUGGGCGUCUUGGUCACACACGGCCAGGCUGAGCACCCCCAGGUCCCGCCACUCCUGCAGCAGCUGUGUGCCGGCACCACUUAAGUGACCCAUGAACCUCUCAAGGAAGAUGAGCUUCGCGCGACGGACGCAAACUUUCGGAGCGGCGGCCAUGGUGGAGGGCUUGGGACACAGUUCUUCUCGCCAGCAGCCUGCAAAGAAAUUUCCCAAGUGAGGAGCAGGGCAGGAGAGACGUGGUUUGCAAGGCUCAGUGCGGGAGGGAGGGAGUUGAGCCUUGAAGUGGCCGGCCUGAGCACCGGGAUGUGGGGACAAGACAAA